GAUGAACGCUGGCGGCGUGCCUAAUACAUGCAAGUCGAGCGGCAGCACGGUCUUCGGACUGGUGGCGAGCGGCGGACGGCUGAGUAACGCGUAGGAACGUACCCCAAAGUGAGGGAUAACUGCUCGAAAGAGUAGCUAAUACCGCAUGUGAUCUAAGGAUUAAAGCUUCGGCGCUUUGGGAACGGCCUGCGUCCGAUUAGCUAGUUGGUGAGGUAAAAGCUCACCAAGGCGACGAUCGGUAGCUGGUCUGAGAGGAUGAUCAGCCAGACUGGGACUGAGACACGGCCCAGACUCCUACGGGAGGCAGCAGUAGGGAAUAUUGGACAAUGGGCGGAAGCCUGAUCCAGCAACGCCGCGUGAGGGAUGACGGCCUUCGGGUUGUAAACCUCUUUCAGCAGGGACGAAGCGCAAGUGACGGUACCUGCAGAAGAAGCACCGGCCAACUACGUGCCAGCCGCCGCAGUAA
rnacentral:rRNA from 1 species